GGAAACUUAGGACCGAGAAGCUAACAUGUAUGCUCUGCUUGCAUUGAUUACAGCGGCAGUUUUCGUUGCCUGUAAUGCAUGGCGACAACAACGCGGUCUAUAAAAAGGAGAUGUGCCAAACUCCUAACUUUACUAAGUGGAAAGACUGCGAUGGCAUCAAUGCUGGCUACUACUUCAACGAAAGAAGAGGACGUUGUGUUGUACUUACAGACACUGGUUGCGAAAACCAAACGCUGUAUUCUACGCGCUAUGCCUGCGCCACAGGGUGCAACUCAACGGAAGGAGCACAACAUUGUGCACAUGAUCCCACAAGUCCUUGUACCAGCACACAUCCGAGGGGCAAGAAAAGAUUCUUUUACAACAUAACGUCGCGCAUGUGCACUCAGUACCGGAGAUGCGGAAGUGGUCACCUUUCAU